GACGAACGCUGGCGGCGUGCUUAACACAUGCAAGUCGAGCGGUAAGGCCUCUUCGGGGGUACACGAGCGGCGAACGGGGGAGUAACACGUGGGUGACCUGCCCUCAGCUCUGGGAUAAGCCUGGGAAACGGGGUCUAAUACCGGAUAUGACCUUUCCUCGCAUGGGGAUUGGUGGAAAGUUUUUUCGGCUCGGGAUGGGCCGGCGGCCUAGCAGCGUGUUGGUGGGGUGAUGGCCUACCAAGGCGACGACGGGUAGCCGGCCUGAGAGGGCGACCGGCCACCCUGGAACUGAGGCACGGGCCAGACUCCUACGGGAGGGGGCAGUGGGGAAUAGUGCGCAAGCGGCGGAAGCCUGACGGGGCGACGCCGCGUGGGGGAUGACGGCCUUCGAGUUGUAAACCUCUUUCGACCCCGGCGCAUUUGGACGGUAGGGGUAGAAGAAGCACCGGCCAACUACGUG
rnacentral:rRNA from 1 species